ensembl:rRNA 5S_rRNA 5S ribosomal RNA
UGCUCCAGCCACGCCACCCUGAACAAGCCCCAUCCCAUCUGAUCUGGGAGCUAAGCAGGGUCGGGCCUGGUCAGUACUUGGAUGGGAGACCAUCUAGGAAGACCAGGUGCUGUAGGCG